GCAAUGGGGUUAACUCUGGGUUUCAAAGACCAUCCCAGUCUACUUGUGUCGCUUUGGCCUGGUCUACACAAUGCUGAGAGGAAAGAUCAGGCCAGUGAAACUUCAGCUCAGUCUAU